ACCUACGGGAGGCAGCAGUGGGGAAUAUUGCGCAAUGGGCAAAAGCCUGACGCAGCGACGCCGCGUGAGGGAUGAAGGUCUUCGGAUCGUAAACCUCUGUCAGCAGGGAAGAACGGUCACUGUGCUAAUCAGCAGUGAAUUGACGGUACCUGCAAAGGAAGCACCGGCUAACUCCGCGCCAGCAGCCGCGGUAAUACGGAGGGCGCGAGCGUUAAUCGGAAUUACUGGGCGUAAAGCGCUCGUAGGCGGUAUGUCAAGUCAAGGGUGAAAUCCCCGCGCUCAACGUGUGAACUGCCUUUGAAACU
rnacentral:rRNA from 1 species